rnacentral:rRNA from 1 species
UUCGGUGGUCAUAGCGUGAGGGAAACGCCCGGUCACAUUCCGAACCCGGAAGCUAAGCCUUUCAGCGCCGAUGGUACUGCAUGCGGGAGCGUGUGGGGAGAGUAGGACGCCGCCGAAC